rnacentral:rRNA from 1 species
AGGGAAGGCGUAGGGAAACCGAGUCUUAAUAGGGCGCUUAGUUGCAGGCUGUAGACCCGAAACCCGUCGAUCUAUCCAUGUCCAGGGUGAAGUUGUGGUAACACACAAUGGAGGCCCGAACUCACGCCUGUUGAAAAAGUCGGAGAUGAGGUGUGGAUAGGAGUGAAAGGCUAAUCAAGGCGGGUGAUAGCUGGUUCUCCUCGAAAGCUAUUUAGGUAGCGCCUCAUGUAUCACUGUAGGGGGUAGAGCACUGUUUCGGCUAGGGGGUCAUCCCGACUUACCAAACCGAUGCAAACUCCGAAUACCUACAAGUGCCGAGCAUGGGAGACACACGGCGGGUGCUAACGUCCGUCGUGAAAAGGGAAACAACCCAGACCCACAGCUAAGGUCCCCAAUUACCGCUAAGUGGAAAACGAUGUGGGAAGGCACAGACAGCCAGGAUGUUGGUUUAGAAGCAGCCA